rnacentral:tRNA from 1 species
AUGCCCGUAGCUCAGCAGGAUAGAGCAUCCCGAUCCGAACGGGGAGGUCGCAGGUUCGAGUCCUGGCGGGCGUUCAA